rnacentral:rRNA from 1 species
AUACGUAGGGGGCGAGCGUUGUCCGGAAUGAUUGGGCGUAAAGGGCGUGUAGGCGGUCUUGCAAGUCAGAAGUGAAAUUCCUGAGCUCAACUCGGGCGCUGCUUCUGAAACUGCAGGACUUGAGUGCUGGAGGGGAUAGCGGAAUUCCUAGUGGAGCGGUAAAAUGCGCAGAUAUUAGGAAGAACACCGGUGGCGAAGGCGGCUAUCUGGACAGUAACUGACGCUGAGGCGCGAAAGCGUGGGGUGCAAACAGGAUUAGAUCCCCUGGUAGUCCACGCCGUAAACGAUGAAUACUAGGUGUAGGGGGUAUCGACUCCCUCUGUGCCGCAGUUAACACAAUAAGUAUUCCGCCUGGGGAGUACGGCCGCAAGGUUGAAACUCAAAUGAAUUGACGGGG